rnacentral:sRNA from 1 species
UUUCUGUGUUUUUGUUUCUAACAAACAACAUUUUUUAUAAAAAAAGCCAAAAAAA